AUUGUAUAAAUCGUACAUUAUAAUAAAAACAUUUAUCUGACGAUUUAAUUGGCCUCAUUUACAAGCUAUUCCCUUGAUAAAGAAAUUGCACAAAUUUUAUGAAUACAACCGUGUGUAAUUAGUAACUCGUUUACUUGCCCGUUGGGGCAUGAACACAAAAGAGCUCGUGAAUAUUCACCGUAACACGCAUAAAAGAUAAGUGAAAAAUGAAUGACUAAUAUUAUCGUAAAAUCUAAUAUUAAGCAAAUCGAUAUUAAAAUAAUAUUAAGACACUGAUACAAAAAAAUCACCGCUAACUUUUACUUCAUUCUAUUACAAUUAAAUAUUAUAGAACGAUUCUAAAAUUUUCCACCUUUAUACAAAAAAAUCAGCCUGACCUUCGCUUCGUACUAUUACGAUUUAAAAAAUUAUAAAACCACUCAAAAAUAUUAUUACAAUUAAAAGUUAUAAAACGCUUUUAAAAUUUUCAUCUUUUUUAUAUAACAAACACUAGUUAUUACGAUAUUACAAAUUAAAUUAAUAAAAUAAUUUCGAAAUACUAUUACACUUAAAAAUUAUAAAACAACUUCAAAAUUCUGACCUACUUUCAUUGCUCUCUACUUCCAUCAAACAUCGCUGAUAAAACGAUUUAAAAAUUCUCACCUAUCUUCAUACAAAAAGGCUAUUCUAUCCUCCAACUCGCGAAGCAAACAAUAGAAAUUAAUUCUGUAUACCGUCAAACAGAGGACAAAGGACCGACACGUCACGAUGAAAAUCAGCAUCAGGAGGAAAUCGCAAGGGAGCCGGUGUGUUCCGAUCUGAUUAACUCUCCGAUGUGUCCGAUUCUCCGAUGAACUGCGAGCCAAAACGCGGAUACUCCGCGAUAUCGGUCGUUCCAGAUCAUUUCUAUGCCCCGUUGGCGGGUAGAAAGUUGGCUACUUGGUGGAAAAAGCGUAUUUUCCACGCGCUACUAAUGAUACCAACGUAAUGCUUUCCUCCUUUCGCGGCUCGCAUUGUCGAACCGCGUGAAAAGGAGCGUUUUCAAACUGUCGCCUGGCACGCGACGGAACAAAGAACGAAGCCGGGCGAAACAGGUCGAGGGAAAAACGUCGUGGAGAAAAGGAACAACAGGAUAAAGAGCGAAUAAAAAAAAGGAAAGGGGAAAAAAGAAAAUGCAACGCCGGAAUAACAGAAAACAGAGGAAUGCUCGAACAUUCCUCGAGCGAGCGUGACGCAACCCGUUGUUCGAAGCCUGGCUACUGUGUGUACUUUCUAUUUGACGCGUGUGCUAUUGUUGUCGCCGUUGAACGACGCUGUGCAAUGGGGACGAAGGAAAACUGGUUACUGAAUGCCAUAAAAGCGGAUGCCUUUUCGCGAGACGUCGAAAAUCGUCGAAACUCUGAGGAUGUGUUGUUCCAUCAUUGAAAAAGAAAAAGAUCGAGAGGGGCUUUUUACUCGGGAACAUCUUGCCCGACGACUCCUUUGAAAUUUAAAACAACUAUAGAGCGUUCUUGCACAAUUAAAUCAAUAUCGUUUACGUAGAUUACUUUUAUGUGUUCGUGAAAGAAACGUACAAAGAUGUAGAUAAUACAUAUGAUAUGUUAAAAUAAAUAAAGCAUCCAAAGUAUUCGUUAUAACGUUUGAUAGAUGGAACGACUUUUUAUCUAAAUUUCCUUUCCUUAGUUAUAUUCACAGAAAUAUAACAUUGCAUAAAUAUCUGCAAUCUAAUUAUCAGCGAAACUUGACAAAUCAUGAUUAGAAAUUUAGGAUUCAUGCUUGCGAAAAUUCUAUGAAAAACCUUGCCCAUCCUCGAAAAAACUAGCUGUCGAUAACACAUCCAAAAGUGAAUGUCUUUUCGCGGGAAGCUCUAACUGGCUCAACACUCUGCAUUUCUACUUCCGAAAGAACAUCAAGCGUGAUUCUUGACGUGGAAACAUUUUGUUCGACGACUCAUUCAAAAUUCGAGAAAGAUAUACCAGGAACCAUUGGUCCUGUCCUAUGGGAGAAAGCAACGUAUUGUAAGGACGUACAAGGGAUAAAGGAUUCAUCCAGUUCGAAUGAAUACGGGAUAAACGAGCGGCGGAAGCACACAGAGGUUCCUCUCUAUUUUCGAACGAAAAUCGCGAUCCGGUCUCCUGAACCGGCGAAUGGGGACGUUCCAAUUUUCUACAGGAUCUUCUUCGGGGUUGGCAAAGGUUUGGAAAAAUGAUGCAACGAUACUUUUGUCGCGGCAAUAUCCCUCGAUGUAUGUAUAUCGUGUGUACUUAGUAAAAAUGCAUAUAUUUGGAAAAAUUUCAUGCUGAAGCUAGUGGAUAAAAGUUUCGACGAUAGCGUAGUUUUCGUGUAGAUGGGCACUUGGGAGAAAUCAGGACUUCGUUGUUGGAUUAAAGUAACGUUAGUAGCGAAAUUUUACAAGUUACCUAGUUAUGGCUGUUGUGGAAAUUUUCGCACGUUAGUAUAACAGGUUUGAUAAUAUGUACAAGUUUCAACUCUUAUUUUUCAAUACACGAGAUGAUGUGUUUUAUUAUAUUCAUAAUAAAGGUGUGUCGUGGAAGGAUCGAUACCUUUCUGUUUUAGCGUCAUUUGUUUUGUGUUGAAGUCAUAUCAAUCAUUAGCUAGCAAUCGUGUAGUAUGGGUCAUACAAUUUUAUUACGGUCGUUUGACGCCUCAACAAUUUGUCGCUAUAAUACAACUUUUAUCAAAGUCAGUAAUCCGUUAUGCAAAUACAAAGAGGAUUACGGUGAAUUCAUUGGUCCCUCGCUCCUCUCACCUAACAGCACCAGACAUUUUCCUUCGGGAAUACUUGAAAAGUAAGGCCUAUGCAAACAAGUCCGGACCACGGUCAUUCAAGAUCUCAAAUUCGAAAACUAAUACGAAAGUUAUUCGCAGCUCAGAUCCAAUGACCAAGAAUUAAUGAUUGGGAACAAGACCAAUCAACUUUUUCGUUAUCUUUUCUCAACUUUUUCUCUCGUACAAAAGAUGGGUCACAUUUACGGAUAACCCAUCGAAAUAGAAAUUCAAAAUUUGAUGUGAUUAAAAUACGCGUUGAUACCGUUCGUGAAAAAAGGAUCCAAUCUCCUGUUCCAGAAAAAGCUCGAAGAAGACGCAUAUCCGCGUGUUUAAUGAUCUCGACCGCGCCCACAAAGGAGAAUAAACGAUUUCUUUGAGGAGAACCGCGACCGCUUUCUUCGUGAAACGCUAUUGGAAACUCUUUGUGCCACUGGUCUCGUACCACGAAGACAAAGUCGGUGACUACGAAUCGGUUGAUCCGCGAAUAUACAUGGCCGACCAAAAGGAUCAAGGAACGCGGUGAAAAUUCCGAUUUUUUGGAUAGUAUCAACGAAAUCCUCGGGGUUGCAAUCCAGCUAGUUGGCUCGAUAACAAUCGAACGUAGAAUGCAAUAGGAUACAAUAGUAUUUUGACAAUAGUCGACAAUGAAAGAACGUUUCGAUCGGAAACUUUCGGUUCGUGCAAAUGAACCAGCAGAUUUUUAGUCCUUUCACAUUUAUGGACAUAUCUGGCGAAGCAAUUUUGUUCAGACGAUACUUGGAAUAAGAUAUCUGAUUUGUUUGAUAUUAGUAUAGUAGUAUUUAAUAUUUAUUGGAUAUCAUUAUUUAGAAUUAACAAAGUCAUGCAUGAAUACACGUCUGGCUUAAUAAGCGAUUCUAUAAAGUAACAAAGUUAUUAAUGAGCGUGCUAGGAUUUUUACCAGAUUUUUUAGAAAACAUGGAACGGUAAAAGAUUAAGCCCAGAGAUGGAAAAAGUCCAUCCUUCGAUUUCUCUUCAUCUAAUUUUUACUUUUCUCAAAAAAAAAAAAAAAGAUUUCGAACAUUUGAUGUAAAUAGUAAUUCCAUAAUAUAAUAGAGAUAUUGGCGAGCUUCCCAAAAUUUUAUCAGAUUUUACAAAAGCGUAAAACACAAUAGAAAAAAAGCUGGCAUUCGUAAAUUUUUACUUUUAUCGAAAAAGGUCUCAAACAUUUGAUUUAAAAUAUGCUUGGAUAAUAUAAUAGAAGCAUCGUGGAACAUCCCAGAUCUGUUUAAAAUUUUUUUUAAGCGUGGAAUAGUAAAAAAAAUUAGGCUUGGACAUGGACGACCUAGUUUGCCUGGGAUGAAUGGAAGACUAUGUUUGCUUAGGGUUGAAAGUAUAAUAGAACUUACGGUUAGUGUUCUUAACUCUGGCACGCCAAUAAAUGAGAUGUCUCAAACUAUUUCUUACAAAGAUCCACGAACGAGAUAUCUUGUGUUUUGUUGUAAAAGAAAACGCGAAAUAUCUGGUUCAGAGCAUCGCAUAAACAACAUUGCAUCACAAGAUAUCUUAUCCACGAAUACAAGAGGAUUAACAGAGCGUCAUUUCACUCAUUUGUGACACAGUUGGAACAGAGAAAUGCAAAACGAUGAAAACAAACGCACAGUCGUUAUGGGUUAGCAAAAAUUAACAUAAACGAGAUAGUAAAACGAUUACUAAUGUCUCUGCCCAGUGACAAAUACCGAUUACGAUUAUUUGUGGAGCUCAAACUACAGGAAACUGGCUGCUGAAUAUAAUCAGGCAAGUAUGCAUUCAUUGAAUAGUUCGUCACGACCAGUGAAAUGUUGUUUAUGAAACGUUACCUAAUGGACAAAUAAUGAAAUUAAACAAAUAUCAAGAACAAUAAGAAUGAAAUGUCCAAAAUGAGAACAGUAUGGUUUGUUAUGACAAUAGUAACGAGCUUCGAUCUUGUUUUACGUGUCAAUAUUGAUUAAAUAUACAAUAUUCUCGCGUAAUAAAAUAUAAAAUGAUGGAAGACUGGCGCGAAACUUUAUAACAGGUUCGAAGUAUCGAUUCUCAUUACUCGUUCGAGUAAUUACUUGAAAAUUGCAGCCAUAGUCGGUUUCAUUGCUCCAAAACGCGUUUCCGCGCCUCUAAAAGCACACAUUGUAAUUCUAGAUGCGAGUAUCAUAAAUACCAAAGCUGAAUUUCUACUGGAUCGAAAUCCCUCCCCAAUGAGAGUAGUAAUUGUUUCCCAUUUAAACAAUCAUUGCUGCACACGCUUCUGUGGUACCUCCAUUUCCGAGCUUUACGUCGCGCGGUGCGACUAAAAUAUCUAACAAAAUCGUUUCGUUUUGAUCUUUGAUCUAUGCGAAACCUCGUACAUUUUUCGUUAUUUACGUUUGUCGGAUAUGCACGAACAUCCACAGCUUACUAAUUAUAAUUUAACUCAUUCCAAAUAUAUAUUGAUUUAACUAAAAUCAAGUGAAUAGUCAGGAUUACUAGCUAUAUAUAAAUCAUAAAUCAUAAAUCAUAGAAGUAUUAAUUAAAUCGAAGAAGAUUUAAGAUUAAAAGGAAGAAAAUUCAACGUGUCCAAAAUGUUAGGUAAUAUUGUCAAUAUUUCAAGAUUCACAACGAAAAUGUAGUUUAUCAAUAGAUAUUGAUAAUAUUGUAUUACCAGUACAAAUUGAUCCUUUUAGUUGAGAACAUAGAAAUAUUGGCAAUAUACAAGUUGUAUCGUAACAUAUGGGGUCUACUUCAGGAGUGGACAGGAAACGAAAAGACAAUGGUAAAAAUUCAAACAAACAGGUGUUCUACCUAUCCUUGUUUCAAAUUUACAGCUAUUUUUAUGUUUCAGUAAUCCGGAACAUAGAAGGUGUCCCAAAUGAUUACUCUCGAUCUGUAUUAUUCGAUAUACACCUGGAAUUUUUGAAAAAUUGCGAGAUUCCUUAACACGACCACUGUGAGUUUGUAUACAGAUCGAGGCUAACCAUUUCGAGCAUUUUCUAUAAAGGUAAACAGCUGCAGAUUAUUGAAACACAAAGAUGGUUAUAAUCUUGGAACAAGAUCAGAUAGGACACAUGUUCAUUUUCAUUGUUUUCGUGCCUUUUGUUCAUUCCUAAAGUGACUCCCAUAUGUUAUGAUACACCCUGUAUAUUGAUAUUCUCGAGGCAACCUUACGAAGUCCCUGUCCAGAAGAUGGAACACAUGCGAACUUAAAAGACCGUUAACAAGCUCUAAUAACAUCGCGCCACGAACACGGUUCUCUCGAUUCCCAACACGUAGAAUCAGUCGCAAUUUCGAACAGCCUCGGUGGAAGAUUACAUUCGCUAUUGAACAGCAUCGAUUCCAGCGAGCAAGUACAGCCUUAACAAAAGACGCACGUAAGCCAUGGCGAGGGAGGAAUGCAAAGAAAGCGGGAAUAAUUAAUACCCGGAGCACAUCCUCGCGCAGGGAGACGUAAGAGGAUAAUGCAAAUUUAAUGAACAUCCCACGGAUGAAGUCGGCGUUUUCAGAACGCGAGACGAGGCAGCUUUCGCGCGCGAUGGAAAUUCAUCAAGCUUUACCGGAGCAUUUUUAAUCAACCAGAAUAAGAAGAUAGGUACACACACACACACACACACACAUUUCCAUAUGUAUAUACAUAUACACAAGCGAGUCACUGCAGUUCACGGGCUCGCAAAGUGCUCGUGCUCUCAACUCAGAAGGAGUAUCCCCUUCCGUAAAUAAAACAGCGAAUAACCGCGGCCAGAGAAGCUCUGUCUAUUAAAACCGAAAUAAGAUCCACCGUGCGAAAUCACGUACCAUCAUCUUCAAAAUCCAAACGACGUCGUAAUCCACUUAAAUUCACUUUGAAAAGAAAAGAGAAGGAAAAACAUAGUUUCCAAUUCAAUUAGACAAGAAAAGAUAAAGUAAAAGAAACGAAACAAUUUGCGUUAAAAAUUUUCUAAUUCAAUAACAAAUAUAUAUAUUCAACAAGCUUUCCCAAUUUAAAAAAUGUAAAGGAAGAACAGUUUCAAUCAACUGGAUGUCGAUCCCACGGAACGCGACAUUUCAUAGCGAACGCAACGGAAAAUCGAAUGAAUCGGAUGAAAAAAAAAAAAAAAACCAAGUGGAAAAA